UCAGCGGGUAACCUUGUCCGACCCGAGGCCAACGGACGGAGGGGCACGCUGGGCGUGCUCCUCCUGUGUGGUUGUUGGAGGCGGGCCCUCCCGAAGCCCCCAAGGCGGCAGGUAUUAGACUGCACCUAGAGGCCCCUGGGGCGGCCGCCGCUGAAUUUGAGGGCUGCCUGCACGCGGCAGGCAUGCCCCAACACCGAGGACGCGCCCUCCCGAAAGAGGGAGCUCCCCGAGCGGUGCAGCGGCGCUCGGUCGGACAAGCCCUCUGGAAUGCCAGAGGGCGCAAUAUGCGUUCAAAAACUCGAUGAUUCACUGAAUCUGCAAUUCGUAUUACGUAUCGCAUUUCGCUGCGUUCUUCAUCGAUGCCAGAGCCA
rnacentral:misc_RNA from 1 species